rnacentral:misc_RNA from 1 species
GAUGAAGAACGUAGCAAAAUGCGAUAAGUAAUGUGAAUUGAAGAAUUCAGUGAAUCAUCGAAUCUUUGAACGCACAUUGCGCCCGCUGGUAUUCCGGCGGGCAUGCCUGUUCGAGCGUCAUUUCAACCCUCAAACCCCCGGGUUUGGUGUUGGGGAUCGGCUCUGCCUCACGGCGGUGCCGCCCCCGAAAUACAUUGGCGGUCUCGCUGCAGCCUCCAUUGCGUAGUAGCUAACACCUCGCAACUGGAACGCGGCGCGGCCAUGCCGUAAAACCCCACCUUCUGAAUGUUGACCUCGGAUCAGGUAGGAAUACCCGCUGAACUUAAGCAUAUCAAUAAGCGGAGGA